CCUACGGGAGGCAGCAGUGAGGAAUAUUGGUCAAUGGCCGAGAGCCUGAACCAGCCAAGUCGCGUGAAGGAUGACGGCCCUACGGGUUGUAAACUUCUUUUGUCAGGGAGCAAUUGUGUCCACGCGUGGGCGUUGCGAGAGUACCCGUAAAAAAGGCCUCGGCUAACCCCGUGCCAGCAGCCGCGGUAAUACGGAGGACGCGAGCGUUACCCGGGUUUAUUGGGUUAAAGGGGUGCGUGGGCGGAAUAUCAAGUCAGCGGUAAAAGUUGGGGGCUAAACCCCAGCGUGCCGUUGAAACUGGUGUUCUUGAGUGGGCGAGAAGUAUGCGGAAUGCGUGGUGUAGCGGUGAAAUGCAUAGAUAUCACGCAGAACUCCGAUUGCGAAGGCAGCAUGCCGGCGCCCAACUGACGCUGAAGCACGAAAGCGUGGGUAUCGAACAGGAUUAGAUACCCUUGUAGUC
rnacentral:rRNA from 1 species